AUGCAUGUGCAAGUUCAGCUUGAAAAAGUGAAACCGCGAAUGGCUCAUUAAAUCAGUUACUAUCCCUUGGCUUACUAUCUAGUAACAAGGAUAACUGCGGUAACCCUGCAGCUAAUACUUGAAGAUUACUUUUAGUGCUGACUUACCGCCUAGUAAUUGGGCAGUCAGGAACUUUUACUAGAAAUCGCCGGGUGGCCUAGGUUCAGUAGAGUUAUCUUCUCUAUUGAUUAAGUCAUGUUUGGGAUGAAUCAAAGUAACUGACCGAUCCUAUUAGGGGAGUUUCCCUGAGGACGAAGCCUACGAGUUUCUGACCUAUCAACCUAUGACGGUAGUGUAACGGACUACCGUGGUUGUGACGGGUAACGGGGAAUCAGGGUUCGAUUCCGGAGAAGGAGCCUUAGAAACGGCUACUACAUCCAAGGAAGGCAGCAGGCACGCAAAUUACCCAAUCCCAGCUCGGGGAGGUAGUGACGAGAAAUACCAAUAUGAACCUAAGGGUUUGUAAUUGGAAUGGAAGUUAAACUAAAGAUUCUCUUGAGGAUCUAGUGGAGGGCAAGUCUGGUGCCAGCAGCCGCGGUAAUACCAGCCUCCACAAGCAUAUACGAAAGUUGCUGCGGUUAAAAAGCUCAUAGUUGGAUCUGUUUACAGUGUUACGGUAACAUCUAGUUGGUCGAGACCGGCCCUCUAGCGUAAUGCUUAACCUUCGCAUCGUGGAAAUUGUUUGCACUUCAGUGUGUUGAACUAUGAAAACGAUGUUUUCACUUUGAGUAAAUUAGAGUGCUUAGAGCGUCCUUUGGGAUUGAAUAAUGAAGCAUGGAAUAAUGGAGAAAGACCAGCAUUGUCGAAAAGCCGGUGGCUGACAUGCGGUAAUGAUUGAAAGGAACAGGCGGGGGCAUUUGUAUUGCUGGGUUAGGGGUGAAAUCCUGGGAUCCCAGCAAGACAAACUACUGCGAAAGCAUUUGUCCAGAAUGUUUUCAUUAAUCAAGAACGAAAGUUAGAGUAUUAAAGAGGAUUAGAUACCCUCGUAAUUCUAACCAUAAACUAUACCAACUUACAAUCUGUCAAAGUCCUGACCGACUUGACAGGUGAUUAACCGGGAAACCAAAGUUUAUUGGUUCCGGGGGAAGUAUGGUUGCAAAAUCGAAACUUAAAGGAAUUGACGGAAGGGCACCACCAGGAGUGGAGCCUGCGGCUUAAUUUGACUCAACACGGGAAAACUUACCAGGUCCAGACAUUUUAAGGAUUGACAGAUUGAAUAUCUCUCAUGAUUAUAUGGGCGGUGGUGCAUGGCCGUUCUUAGUUAGUGGAGUGAUCUGUCUGGUUAAUUCCGAUAACGAACGAGAUCUCCCCCUUUCUAAAUAAUAAUCUUAUACUCACCCAGUGCAAAAAUGUUUCUUAGAGGAACAAUGUGGGAAAAAUACCACAAGAGAAGUGAGGCUAUAACAGGUCUGUGAUGCCCUUAGAUGUCCUGGACCGCACGCGCGCUACAUUGAAUAGAUCAAAAAGUUGACGAAAUCAUGGAACGCCGGGCCGAAACGGUCUGGCAAACCAUGCAAACCCUGUUGCCAUCUUAAACGGGGAUCGGUUCUUGUAAUAGGACCGUGAACCAGGAAUUCCUAGUAAUUGUUCGUCAACAGCGAACAGUGAUUAUGUCCCUGCCCUUUGUACACACCGCCCGUCGCUACUACUGAUUGGAUGAUUAAGCAAGAACCUCGGAACCUCGCUAUCGAAACUACGGUUGAGAUAAUGAGCGGAAGAGGAUCAAGCUUAUUUGUCUA
rnacentral:rRNA from 1 species